rnacentral:rRNA from 1 species
GAUGAACGCUGGCGGCGUGCCUAACACAUGCAAGUCGAACGGCAGCGCGAGUAGUUUACUACUUGGCGGCGAGUGGCGGACGGCUGAGUAACGCGUGGGAACGUGCCCCAAAGUGAGGAAUAACUGCCCGAAAGGGUAGCUAAUGCCGCAUAUGGUCUUCGGAUUAAAGUAUUUAUACGCUUUGGGAGCGGCCCGCGUCGGAUUAGGUUGUUGGUGAGGUAAAGGCUCACCAAGCCGACGAUCCGUAGCUGGUCUGAGAGGAUGAUCAGCCAGACUGGGACUGAGACACGGCCCAGACUCCUACGGGAGGCAGCAGUGAGGAAUCUUCCACAAUGGGCGAAAGCCUGAUGGAGCAACGCCGCGUGCAGGAUGAAUGCCUUCGGGUUGUAAACUGCUUUUAUAAGUGAGGAAUAUGACGGUAGCUUAUGAAUAAGGAUCGGCUAACUACGUGCCAGCAGCCGCGGUCAUACGUAGGAUCCGAGCGUUAUCCGGAGUGACUGGGCGUAAAGAGUUGCGUAGGUGGUUUAUUAAGUGAAUAGUGAAAGCUGGAGGCUCAACCUUACAGACUAUUAUUCAAACUGGUAAACUCGAGAGUAGUAGAGGUAACUGGAAUUUCUUGUGUAGGAGUGAAAUCCGUAGAUAUAAGAAGGAACACCAAUGGCGUAGGCAGGUUACUGGGCUAUCUCUGACACUGAGGCACGAAAGCGUGGGGAGCGAACCGG